rnacentral:rRNA from 1 species
AUUGAACGCUGGCGGCAGGCUUAACACAUGCAAGUCGAACGGUAACAUAAAGGAGCUUGCUUCUUUGAUGACGAGUGGCGGACGGGUGAGUAAUGCUUGGGAAUCUAGCUUAUGGAGGGGGAUAACUACGGGAAACUGUAGCUAAUACCGCGUAGAAUCGGGAGAUGAAAGUGUGGGACCUUCGGGCCACAUGCCAUAGGAUGAGCCCAAGUGGGAUUAGGUAGUUGGUGAGGUAAAGGCUCACCAAGCCGACGAUCUCUAGCUGGUCUGAGAGGAUGACCAGCCACACUGGGACUGAGACACGGCCCAGACUCCUACGGGAGGCAGCAGUGGCGAAUAUUGCGCAAUGGGGGCAACCCUGACGCAGCCAUGCCGCGUGAAUGAAGAAGGCCUUCGGGUUGUAAAGUUCUUUCGGUAGCGAGGAAGGCAUUUAGUUUAAUAGACUAGGUGAUUGACGUUAACUACAGAAGAAGCACCGGCUAACUCCGUG